rnacentral:misc_RNA from 1 species
UCUCUCUCUCUCUCUCUCUCUCUCUCAUUUCUUUCUCUUUUUUCUCUUUUUCUUUUUUCCAUCAAGAAGAUGUUUAAAUCCUUUUCCCUUAAAAAACAUAAUGUAGGGAAGAAGAAAGUUACCAUACCAUAACUUCAGGAAGUUUAUUCCUUAAACCUUCACCAUGUGUGCCUCAGCCAAAGAAGAACUAAGGUCUUCUCGAGAU